GAGUUUGAUCGUGGCUCAGAUUGAACGCUGGCGGCAUGCCUUACACAUGCAAGUCGAACGGCAGCACGGGAGCUUGCUCCUGGUGGCGAGUGGCGAACGGGUGAGUAAUGCAUCGGAACGUAUCCUGGAGUGGGGGAUAACGUAGCGAAAGUUACGCUAAUACCGCAUAUUCUGUGAGCAGGAAAGCGGGGGACCUUCGGGCCUCGCGCUCUUGGAGCGGCCGAUGUCGGAUUAGCUAGUUGGUGAGGUAAAGGCUCACCAAGGCGACGAUCCGUAGCAGGUCUGAGAGGAUGAUCUGCCACACUGGAACUGAGACACGGUCCAGACUCCUACGGGAGGCAGCAGUGGGGAAUUUUGGACAAUGGGGGCAACCCUGAUCCAGCCAUGCCGCGUGAGUGAAGAAGGCCUCGGUU
rnacentral:rRNA from 13 species